rnacentral:misc_RNA from 1 species
AGGUCGAUUCUUUCACUGCAUUUGUCCAGAACAUGUACAAAGAUUUGCAAGGUAGAAUUAACCAACUUGACAGGGACUUAUGAUCCUCAAUCCAACAAAGGAGGUUUGGCACAGAAUUUAACCAGAAGGAAUAGGAAAUCAGACGGUUAAGAAAACAGUUAGCCCAAGUUGAAGUAAACCUGCGUAAGCCAAUAGAGGCUCCUAUUUCUUACAGCCCAUUUUCCACUCCAAUGGCCCAUAAUCCUUUCCUUCCUACUCCUGAACCUGUAUAUUCUCCUUUCGGCCCUUUUAACUAUUCAUAUGAACCA